rnacentral:rRNA from 1 species
CUUAAUUGGGCGUUAAGUUGCAGGGUAUAGACCCGAAACCCGGUGAUCUAGCCAUGGGCAGGUUGAAGGUUGGGUAACACUAACUGGAGGACCGAACCGACUAAUGUUGAAAAAUUAGCGGAUGACCUGUGGCUGGGGGUGAAAGGCCAAUCAAACCGGGAGAUAGCUGGUUCUCCCCGAAAGCUAUUUAGGUAGCGCCUCGUGAAUUCAUCUCCGGGGGUAGAGCACUGUUUCGGCUAGGGGGCCAUCCCGGCUUACCAACCCGAUGCAAACUGCGAAUACCGGAGAAUGUUAUCACGGGAGACACACGGCGGGUGCUAACGUCCGUCGUGAAGAGGGAAACAACCCAGACCGCCAGCUAAGGUCCCAAAGUCAUGGUUAAGUGGGAAACGAUGUGGGAAGGCCCAGACAGCCAGGAUGUUGGCUUAGAAGCAGCCAUCAUUUAAAGAAAGCGUAAUAGCUCACUGGUCGAGUCGGCCUGCGCGGAAGAUGUAACGGGGCUAAACCAUGCACCGAAGCUGCGGCAGCGAACGUAUCACCCAAGACAACUUUACGGAGUUGACGAUUGACGGAGCGAAGCGACGUCAAAGCGUUCAUUAAAGUCGAGUUGGCUUAGGGAUACGUUCGUUGGGUAGGGGAGCGUUCUGUAAGCCUGUGAAGGUGUGUCGUGAGGCAUGCUGGAGGUAUCAGAAGUGCGAAUGCUGACAUAAGUAACGAUAAAGCGGGUGAAAAGCCCGCUCGCCGGAAGACCAAGGGUUCCUGUCCAACGUUAAUCGGGGCAGGGUGAGUCGACCCCUAAGGCGAGGCCGAAAGGCGUAGUCGAUGGGAAACGGGUUAAUAUUCCCGUACUUGGUGUUACUGCGAAGGGGGGACGGAGAAGGCUAUGUUGGCCGGGCGACGGUUGUCCCGGUUUAAGCGUGUAGGUGUGUGUUCCAGGUAAAUCCGGUUCACUUUAACACUGAGGCGUGACGACGAGGCA